rnacentral:misc_RNA from 1 species
UCAAUCUGCUGAUCGUUUUUGAAGCCGUAUUCUCCACCGGAAAUAUCAGCCACGCCGCCAGACAGCUCGCGCUUAGUCAGCCUGCGGUCUCCAACGCGCUGACGCGGCUGCGCGAGCAUUUCGACGAUCCGCUGUUCGUGCGGUCCGGACGCGGCGUAAAGCCGACCAACCGCUCGCUGCAGAUGAUCGCGCCGGUACGCGAAGCACUGCAGCUGAUCCGGCGCCAGCUCGACGGCGGGCAAAGUAUCGACCUGGCCAC